ACCCUGCUGAAACUACACUAAUCGCAGCAUGCAGUAUGUAUACUUGCAAGCACAGUAUGCAAAGUCUGACCCUGCCAGGCACCACCUCAGGAUGAGAUGAAGGCACAAGGGGAGCCUGCUCUUCCCCAGCUGUUGUGAAAGCUGCAGGAUGAAUUCAGCCCUUGUGUGCGGACAGCAACACACUCAGCCAAGCCUGUUAUGGGAAGAGGAGUGACUCUCGGAGCCAUGCCAGACCUGACCAUGCCUUGCUAUGGGACAAAAUCACUGGAGAGACGAUCAGCUUGGGGCCCUAGCGUGGCCAGAAGAGGAGUCUGGACCAUUGCCAGCAGCAAAACCAAGAGC